rnacentral:rRNA from 1 species
UACAGAGGGGGCAAGCGUUGUUCGGAAUUACUGGGCGUAAAGGGCGCGUAGGCGGCCUGCUAAGUCGAACGUGAAAUCCCCGGGCUCAACCCGGGAACUGCGUCCGAUACUGACAGGCUUGAAUCCGGAAGAGGGAUGCGGAAUUCCAGGUGUAGCGGUGAAAUGCGUAGAUAUCUGGAGGAACACCGGUGGCGAAGGCGGGAUCCUGGACCGGCAUUGACGCUGAGGCGCGAAAGCCAGGGGAGCAAACGGG